rnacentral:rRNA from 1 species
UACGAAGGGUGCAAGCGUUACUCGGAAUUACUGGGCGUAAAGCGUGCGUAGGUGGUUUGUUAAGUCUGCUGUGAAAGCCCCGGGCUCAACCUGGGAAUGGCAGUGGAUACUGGCAAGCUAGAGUGCGGAAGGGGCAACUGGAAUUCUUGGUGUAGCGGUGAAAUGCGUAGAUAUCAAGAGGAACACCUGCGGCGAAGGCGGGUUGCUGGGCCGACACUGACGCUGAAGCGCGAAAGCCAGGGGAGCGAACGGGG